rnacentral:rRNA from 1 species
GACGAACGCUGGCGGCGUGCUUAACACAUGCAAGUCGAACGGUGAUCUUGAGAGCUUGCUCUUGGGUGAUCAGUGGCGAACGGGUGAGUAACACGUGAGUAACCUGCCCCUGACUCUGGAAUAACUUCGGGAAACCGAAGCUAAUACCGGAUAUGACACAGAGCCGCAUGGUUUCUGUGUGGAAAGUUUUUCGGUUGGGGAUGGACUCGCGGCCUAUCAGCUUGUUGGUGAGGUAAUGGCUCACCAAGGCGACGACGGGUAGCCGGCCUGAGAGGGCGACCGGCCACACUGGGACUGAGACACGGCCCAGACUCCUACGGGAGGCAGCAGUGGGGAAUAUUGCACAAUGGGCGAAAGCCUGAUGCAGCGACGCCGCGUGAGGGAUGACGGCCUCGGUUGUAAGUUCUUUUAUAUGUGAGCAGUGCUUCUUAUAUUAACAGUAUGGGAGAGAGAUAUUAGCAUAUAGAAUAAGACAACGG